CAUAGAAUUUUCUCUCUAGAGGACACAAUCUAUUAUCUUAUCUUCUUCUACAGGAACAUGGAAUCUAACCCACCUCACGGUGUUGUUCUCGGAAUGAAACCGAGAACCAUAUAGAUUACUGUUUUCUGCUUAAAACGUGGUCGAACCAGGAUCCGCAGACAACUGUUUAAAGAAAGAAAGAAGAAAGAAAGAAAUGACAUUUGCAUCCCUACUUCAAGAGCCAGGAAGCUGGCAUUUGCAACUUCACAAUGAUUGAUUUUGCUGUGAAAGCUGAAUAUUGAGACAAAAGUCGAAAUAUUACAACAGUAUUUCAAGAACCAAAAUAAACAAGAAAGACUUGGCCAGUGGUGGUAUUCAGCUGGUUCUAUCCGGUUCGUGUGAAUCGGUAACGGUGGCUGCGGGAGACUCCGCCUACCCUCCCGGAUGUUAUCCCAUCCCGUUUUUGAUGCUUUGCGCAUGCGCGGAAGGCCCUGUGCAUGUGCACAGGUGGUACACAUGCGCUCACUUUUGCGAACCGGUAACAAAGCCAUGUAGUAAAUCAGCCUGAACAGCAUUAAGAUAACAAAAUCCUUCCACUCUUGACCUCAACAAAGAAUUCAAGCAACUGGCCAAGUCCUAGAGCCUUUGUGACUUGGAUUUGAUCAUGCAAAAUAGCCAAUUCAGGUGGAAGGCAGAAGGUAUUUAAGACCUGCUGAAGAGAACAGAAAUUCCUCAAUUUAAAUUUAAAUUUGACAGGCAAGUCAAAAAAAAAAAAAAGCAUAGCAAUUAAAGUAUUGAAGCGGGCAAGAGAU